rnacentral:rRNA from 1 species
UACAGUUGGUGCAUGGCUGUCGUCAGCUCGUGUCGUGAGAUGUUGGGUUAAGUCCCGCAACGAGCGCAACCCUUGUCCUGUGUUGCCAGCGCGUAAUGGCGGGGACUCGCAGGAGACUGCCGGGGUCAACUCGGAGGAAGGUGGGGACGACGUCAAGUCAUCAUGCCCCUUAUGUCCAGGGCUUCACACAUGCUACAAUGGCCGGUACAGAGGGCUGCGAUACCGUGAGGUGGAGCGAAUCCCUUAAAGCCGGUCUCAGUUCGGAUCGGGGUCUGCAACUCGACCCCGUGAAGUCGGAGUCGCUAGUAAUCGCAGAUCAGCAACGCUGCGGUGAAUACGUUCCCGGGCCUUGUACACACCGCCCGUCACGUCAUGAAAGUCG